UGUCACUAGUAGCCAGAUUUAAGUCUGAAACGGUCAUUUUGGUCUGAUCAAGUCUUAAUCGACUUAAUUUACCGCUAGAGAAAAACGUUAAGACCUGUUUAGACACUCAGACUCUGUUAAGAUAUAUUGUGUUCAGUCAGAUCAGUCGUGUCAAGAUAAAUAAGACAGAUUCGUCUAGCAUCCAAAUAAGACUUGAUUAGAUCACGUUCAGAUUAAAUAAGACCAAAGGUGAACAACUUGUUUCGUUGCAGUAAGAUCGUGUUCAGUUGUGUUAAGAUUUUAAAUAUUUUGAAUAAAACGGGCGACACUUUAUCUGUUUUUAUCAGGGGUUACUCCCCCUUUAUGAAUAUAAUCUCUAUAUCUUGGAUGAUAUUCUUUUGUGAUCUUUUAAUAUGACUGUAUAUCUAUUUAAUUAAAUAAAGUAUGCAAACUUUAAAAACAAUUCAUUUAUUUCCGAUAGGAUCUUUAACAUUGCAUUGGUUAUAUG
rnacentral:lncRNA from 1 species